CGCGGGGAGAUGACGUAACGGGAGCCAUUUUGGAUGUUAUUCAGUUUUGUGUGGUGCUUGGAAAGAGCUUCGUCAGUUUUGAACUUCGUUAAUUUUUGAUCUCCUUUGCUCAGAAGAGCUGUUGGAAAGGUCGUAAUACCGCAGUUCAGAAGAACAGACCAAAUCGGAGAAAAUGCCUCCUCUUGAAGCGGAUAUACCGGUGAUACCGGUGGAAGUACAAGAUAUGGAAAGUAUUAAGCGUCGUAUAAUAGAGGAGAUUAAAGACCUGUGCUUAGUGAUGAAGAAAGUAAUGUCAGAGCACUUGGAAGGUUUCAGGGAGUUCGAGUUAACAAAAAUGUGUAAGCCGGAUUGGCCACCAAAUGAGACUACUGAUGUAAAUGCCAAACAAGAGGAUAUAGAGAAAAAGGGAGAUGAAAUCAAGAUAAGAGGAGAAAAAGAGAAUUAGAAGGGUGGUCCCCCAGAUGCAGUCUACGCAUAAUAGAAAUACCUGAAACAAGACAAAGCAAAUGAAGCUGAAAUAAUUAACUAACUAACUGAGGACAUUUUUCCAGAGUUGAAGAACAAACUAGGUCUGCAAAUGGAAAAACUCACAGGGUUCCUUUAAAUUUUAAUGAAAAGGAAACAACGCCUAGACAUAUUCUGGUGACUUUAAAUUUUCAAGGAUAAAGAAAAAUUUUUACAUGUAUUCAGGGAGAAACCAGGUUACCGAUAAAGCGGCAAAAUUCAGUCUGCCUUUAGGCUUUUUUCUUUUGCAAUUCUAAAUGCCGGAAGACCAUGGAACAGUAUCUACAAAGUUUUAAGGGUAAAUCAUUUUGAACCGAGUCACAUAUACCCUGCCAAGUUAUUUUUUCUGUUCGCAGGCAAUUGGAAGAUAGUUAUGCAGAGGUUAAGAAAAUCUUACCAACUAAGAACCUUCUCUGAAAAUCUUGCUGAUUUACUGCAGUCAAUAGAGAAUGUGAGUUAAUAUAAGUAGGGAGGCAAUUGUAUUAAAGAAUUAAUGGUAAGCAUUAAAACUAAAGAGCAUUGCGUUUCAGUUGGUGCAUGUAGGGUAAUAAAGUUUAAUACAAAAAAUAGAUUUGUAAGCAGCAUGUAAAUUUUUUAACUUUAUAGUUUUAAGCUGCCAAAAGGCUUGCCAAAUACUCAGAUGUAUUGGUCAAAUAAAUAGUUUUAUUUUUGCCAUGUAGUAUUGUAGAUAAAAACUCUUUGUUAAGCUAAGAAAUACAAAGGCUUUGUCAUUGUGGAAAGGAGAUGUACAAUAAAGACUGUACUUGUUAA